rnacentral:rRNA from 1 species
UACAGAGGUCUCAAGCGUUGUUCGGAUUCAUUGGGCGUAAAGGGUGCGUAGGCGGCGCGGUAAGUCGGGUGUGAAAUCUCGGGGCUUAACUCCGAAACUGCAUUCGAUACUGCCGUGCUUGAGGACUGGAGAGGAGACUGGAAUUUACGGUGUAGCGGAGAAAUGCGUAGAUAUCGUAAGGAAGACCAGUGGCGAAGGCGGGUCUCUGGACAGUUCCUGACGCUGAGGCACGAAGGCCAGGGGAGCAAACGGG